rnacentral:rRNA from 1 species
UACGUAGGGUGCAAGCGUUGUCCGGAAUUAUUGGGCGUAAAGAGCUCGUAGGCGGUCUGUCGCGUCUGCUGUGAAACUCAGGGCUUAACCCUGAGCUUGCAGUGGGUACGGGGCAGACUAGAGUGCGGUAGGGGGAGACUGGAAUUCCUGGUGUAGCGGUGAAAUGCGCAGAUAUCAGGAGGAACACCGGUGGCGAAGGC